CUUGAGGUUGGGGGUUGCGUCGCUCUCUGGUAAAGGCGUGCAGGUGUUGGCCGCGCCCUCUGAGCUGGGAUGAGCCGUGCUCCUGGUGGAAGCAAGGGAGCGCAGCCGGAGCCAUGGCCAGUACAGUGGUAGCAGUUGGACUGACCAUUGCUGCUGCAGGAUUUGCAGGCCGUUAUGUUUUGCAAGCCAUGAAGCAUAUGGAGCCUCAAGUAAAACAAGUUUUUCAAAGCCUACCAAAAUCUGCCUUCAGUGGUGGCUAUUAUAGAGGUGGGUUUGAACCCAAAAUGACAAAACGGGAAGCAGCAUUAAUACUAGGUGUAAGCCCUACUGCCAAUAAAGGGAAAAUAAGAGAUGCUCAUCAACGAAUUAUGCUUUUAAAUCAUCCUGACAAAGGAAGAUCUCCUUAUAUAGCAGCCAAAAUCAAUGAAGCUAAAGAUUUACUAGAAGGUCAAGCUAAAAAAUGAAGUAAAUGUAUGAUGAAUUUUUAAGUUCAUAUUAGUUUAUGUAUAUGAGUACUAAGUUUUUAUAAUAAAAUGCCUCAGAGCUACAAUUUAAAAA